CCGACCGCGUCCGUUAUGGGUCAAAUUGAAUUGUAUCAUUCGGUGAAGUGGGCCUGAUACAUCAUGAUUGAGAAUCGGCAUCCGCGAAAGAUAUUGUCUAGCCAUAAUGGAAAACACUAAUAAUCAAUCGUGGCGCCAUCCAUGCAAAAAUAAGUAAUUACAUUAUCGUUUAAAUUAUUCUGUUGUAACCGAAUAUUUGGAUCAGCUAGUUCAUCGAAUCAACUGCGUCUCUUUGCUGUCGAAUGUUGAAUUAUAUCAUUCGAAUUUCUUUUUGGAUUGACCUGGUACAGCGUGGGUUGAAAAUCGACAUUCGUGAAAGAUACUGAAUUUCUUUUUGGGCUGACCUGGCACAGCAUGAAUCGAAAAUCGGCAUCUACGAAGAAUAUUGGAUUCCUAAAAUCAAUAAAACCUGGAAUCAAUAAAGCUUGGAAUCAAUAAAGCGGAAUUAAUGUGGCGGAAUCAACGUUCUUGUCUUUUGCAGAAUUCGUUGGAUUAACGGGAUCAGCGGCGCAGAGUGACCGGGCAGGCGAAUCUCUUUUCGCCGGUGUGGGUUCGAAGGUGCCGCUGCAACUCAUCCGAACGUGUGAACCGCUUGCCA